rnacentral:rRNA from 1 species
UGGGGAAUUUUCCGCAAUGGGCGCAAGCCUGACGGAGCAAGACCGCGUGGGGGAUGACUGCCUAAUGGUUGUAAACCCCUUUUCUCUGGGAAGAUGAUGACGGUACCAGAGGAAUCAGCCUCGGCUAACUCCGUGCCAGCAGCCGCGGUAAUACGGAGGAGGCAAGCGUUAUCCGGAAUUAUUGGGCGUAAAGCGUCCGUAGGUGGCUCAUCAAGUCUGCUGUUAAAGCGUGGGGCUCAACUCCAUAGAGGCAGUGGAAACUGAUGGACUAGAGUGCGGUAGGGGUCGAGGGAAUUCCCAGUGUAGCGGUGAAAUGCGUAGAUAUUGGGAAGAACACCAGUGGCGAAAGCGCUCGACUGGGCCUGCACUGACACUGAGGGACGAAAGCUAGGGGAGCGAAAGGGAUUAGAUACCCCCGUAGUCC